rfam:Xenopus tropicalis strain Nigerian Chr07_contig_3115, whole genome shotgun sequence.
UAAAAGGCCCUUCUAAGGGCCACUCACAAGUCUGAUAAAAGCUGUA